rnacentral:rRNA from 1 species
AUGAUUGCAUUUAGGGAUGCGCUUGAAGUUUUUGGCUUGGUUGAUCUGGGUUUUUCGGGGGUCCCUUUCACCUAUGACAAUAAAAGAAACGGUGUGAACACUGUCAGGGUGAGGCUUGAUAGGGCCGUGGCAACAAAUGAGUGGAGGAAUCUGUUUGCCUUUGCCUCUGUACAUCACAUUCUCAGUCCUUGCUCGGACCAUGUGGCGGUCCUGCUCAAAGGCGAGGCGGAUUCAGGUCCGGUCGGGCCGAAACAGCGCCGGUACGAGAUUUUUUGGGAGCGGGACUCCACGUUGCCGGAGGUCAUCAAGAAUGCAUGGGAGUCGGUUGGUAAUGUCCAAAGUUUGGAGUAGCUGCGAGAGGCGCUAACCAAGACGAUGGUGUCGCUUGGAUCUUGGUGCAGA